rnacentral:tRNA from 1 species
UCGGGCCAUGGAACGGAUUCCGUCUGUUGCGUUCACACCCCGGCACGGCACCGGGGUGCCAACUCCGCGCCCGGA